rnacentral:rRNA from 1 species
CACGUAGGGCGCGAGCGUUGUCCGGAAUUAUUGGGCGUAAAGAGCUCGUAGGCGGCCUGUUGCGUCCGCUGUGAAAGCCCGGGGCUUAACCCCGGGUCGGCAGUGGAUACGGGCAGGCUAGAGGUAGGUAGGGGAGAAUGGAAUUCCCGGUGUAGCGGUGAAGUGCGCAGAUAUCGGGAGGAACACCGGUGGCGAAGGCGGUUCUCUGGGCCUUACCUGACGCUGAGGAGCGAAAGCGUGGGGAGCGAACAGG